CAGGCCUCAGGACAAUAUCGG
rnacentral:misc_RNA from 1 species